rnacentral:rRNA from 1 species
GACGAACGCUGGCGGCGUGCUUAACACAUGCAAGUCGAACGGAAAGGCCCUGCUUUUGUGGGGUGCUCGAGUGGCGAACGGGUGAGUAACACGUGAGUAACCUGCCCUUGACUUUGGGAUAACUUCAGGAAACUGGGGCUAAUACCGGAUAGGAGCUCCUGCUGCAUGGUGGGGGUUGGAAAGUUUCGGCGGUUGGGGAUGGACUCGCGGCUUGUCAGCUUGUUGGGGGGGUAGUGGCUUAACAAGGCUUUGACGGGUAGCCGGCCUGGGAGGGUGACCGGCCACAUUGGGACUGAGAUACGGCCCAGACUGCUACGGGAGGCAGCAGUGGGGAAUAUUGCACAAUGGGCGGAAGCCUGAUGCAGCAACGCCGCGUGCGGGAUGACGGCCUUCGGGUUGUAAACCGCUUUCGCCUGUGACGAAGCGUGAGUGACGGUAAUGGGAAAAGAAGCACCGGCUAACUACGUG